rnacentral:rRNA from 1 species
CGCGUAGGAAUCUACCUAUUAGUGGGGGAUAACAUGGAGAAAUUCAUGCUAAUACCGCAUAUGCCCUACGGGGUAAAGAGGGCCUCUUCUUGAAAGCUCUUGCUAGUAGAUGAGCCUGCGUCGGAUUAGCUUGUUGGUGGGGUAAUGGCCUACCAAGGCGACGAUCCGUAGCUGGUCUGAGAGGAUGAUCAGCCACACUGGGACUGAGACACGGCCCAGACUCCUACGGGAGGCAGCAGUGGGGAAUAUUGGACAAUGGGCGCAAGCCUGAUCCAGCAAUACCUCGUGUGUGAAGAAGGC